CAACACAACAAAUAAAAUAGAACUGGAUACAGCGUUGGAGGCAGGGUCCCGUUCAUUCCUAUGAAAGUUGCUCAGUGGCACAUGAAGCCAAAAAAGUUUGACUGUGUCUAAAA